CAUCUUCAGCAUGUGCUAAAUCAGAAAUAAUGUUGCCAUGGCUGUUGAUACAGUUUGGUUCCUUUUUUUAACCUUCCUGACUCUUAUUAAUUUCAGGAAACUAUGAAGGAUAAAGUAGAAUACAUAUUCUACUACAGUGAAACAACAGUGAACUUAGGAAUUUAUGUUCACACCAGCUGUAAAAAUUUACUGCACCUAAUCUUUAUUAAAUAAAGUCUGCAACUACUUGAAUUCUGCUGAGUUAAAGAGACAUAUUUUAUUAGAUGUUUCUAAGAAAUUAAUGUAGGAUCUAGUUGAGAUCUUGUCGCUGAAGUGAAUGUUAAAUCAAUUUUCUGAAGCUUCUAGAUAUGGCAUAAUUUUCAACAGAAAAAUCAGCAAGGAAUUUAUUCACAUAACUAACGCAAUGAACUUACACAUAGAGCUGCAUUUGUCAGUGUACCUUCUCAAACUACUUGUAAGUCUGUAGGGAAAGUUGUGAGCAGUGAAAUAUAUGUUUGUAUUUGAUAGCCUUUGUUUUUUUUUUUUUUUUUUUUUUUUUUGUGCGUGUGUGUGUGACAUCUGUGUAAAGUGCAUUCAUCCAUUCAUUCACAGUUUGUGUUCUAUAGGUUUGAUCUUUUAAAUUAUAAGCAGAAAAAGUACCUGCUGUUUCAUAACCCUUCCAACACUGAUCAUUAGUCCUUAGUAAAUCCCUUUCAUGAGCAAUCUUAGUUGGAUCUCAAGAAUCUAAAUUUCAAUAAUUUAGAUGAAGUAUCUAAAUAGCUGUAAAAGAUUAUUCUUUUAUAUCACUGACACAAAGUUUGCUGAGGAACAAGUCCAGGCAAGUCCUGGGCAAAGGUAGAGAAAUCUUCUGUCUGGAGGACACUGAUGGAGAGGUCCUGGCUAAGGGUUGUGAAAUCCUUUUAGGAGCACAGAUGGACAAGACCAGGGGUAACGAGAGAGGGAUAAGCUGCUGAUAAUGGCCGGGAAAUGGUCUUUUGUGUGGACUUAUCUCGAGGAAGAUGGCCAUCUCAGGAGGUACGCACAUGACUCUUGCUCAAGCACCCAGGGAUGUCACGUAGGCAGGAAAAAAGGAGGACAAAAGAGAGUCCAACAACCAUGAGGAUAGGUUUCUGCCAUCAGAUCCCUCACCACGACGGACUCGAGGUUUCUGCCUUCAGAUCCCUCACUACGGACCGUAUGCUGACGGACUUCCCUGGUCCUGCUACCUGAGGCCUGCUGCUUCCUCCGGGCUUACUCUGAGGCUUCUUCCUGGACCCACCCGGUACCUGCACCCUCUCAUUGCCCAAGACCAGCCUCGCUGCUCCUGCCCUUCGGCCUCAGACCAUCGGAACGGCAUGCAACGGGACUACUGCCAGAUCCUGGUGGUGACUAUCCCCGCUUUACGCAAUUCUUGCUUCUUUCUAUCUUUUCAAUCACUCACCUUCCCUUCCCCAUCACUCCAAUCCGUAAUAGUGUCCGUCCUCCCUUUCUUCAUCUCCCUUAUUAACAUUUGUAAUAAACUGGUUGGAC
ensembl:lncRNA